rnacentral:rRNA from 1 species
UGGGAAAUAUUGGACAAUGGGGGGAACCCUGAUCCAGCCAUGCCGCGUGUGUGAAGAAGGCCUUAUGGUUGUAAAGCACUUUAAGCGAGGAGGAGGGUACUGGUAUUAAUACUACCAGGUACUGGACGUUACUCGCAGAAUAAGCACCGGCUAACUCUGUGCCAGCAGCCGCGGUAAUACAGAGGGUGCGAGCGUUAAUCGGAUUUACUGGGCGUAAAGCGUGCGUAGGCGGCUAAUUGAGUCGGAUGUGAAAUCCCCGAGCUUAACUUGGGAAUUGCAUUCGAUACUGGUUAGCUAGAGUGUGGGAGAGGAUGGUAGAAUUCCAGGUGUAGCGGUGAAAUGCGUAGAGAUCUGGAGGAAUACCGAUGGCGAAGGCAGCCAUCUGGCCUAACACUGACGCUGAGGUACGAAAGCAUGGGGAGCAAACAGG